GCCGGGAUGGCGGAAUUGGCAGACGCGCGGGACUCAAAAUCCCGUGGCCGAAAGGCUGUGAGGGUUCGAUCCCCUCUCCCGGCA
rnacentral:tRNA from 1 species